CCCUGGCUAGCUCAACGGAAGAGCGGGCGAUCCGGCAAGAUCGUCCUGUCGCGGUUCGACUCCGCGGCCAGGGU
rnacentral:tRNA from 1 species